rnacentral:misc_RNA from 1 species
AACAGGAGGUUCAGGUUACAUAGCAUCAUGGCUGGUCAAGUUCUUACUCCAACAUGGAUAUACAGUGAAAGCCACUGUUCUUGACCUAAGUUAGUAGCUAUUUCAUUCCUGUUUAUGCUGUUUUAUUUCUUUUGAUCUCAGUGUGAUCAAGUAAGAACGAUAUUUUCUGGUUUCUGCUUAAAUUCUUCAAAGUUUAGGUUCUGGGUUUGAUUGCUUUAUUCUUCUCAUCCCUUCUCAGUGAGUUAAAAUAAAGUUUUCACCACUGGUUUUUGCUCUCAGGUACUGACUGUACUUUUCUUGACACAGUUGAAUACAAAGUUUGAUUGCCAAGUUGCCCAUUAAUAGCUAGCUAUUGGGAGAUUCUCGGUUUCAUUAUGAACUUAUGCUAAGCUACCACUUCAAAAUUUUCACAAUUUUAUUCCUAAACUAAAUCCAUUUUCUUUUCCAUAGCUUCCUUUUAAUUCUGAUUAUACAUAUGACAUAGGCGAUCCAAAGAAAACCGAACACCUGCGAGCACUCGAUGGAGCUAAAGAGAGA